UGGAUUAUUGCCUAAAUGCAAUUCAUUUAAGUUUAACACUUAUUAAAACUUUGUUUGAAUCAAGUUACCAGCAAUUCUCUCUUUUCUGAAAGCUACAGUAUUGAUACUUUAAAGAUUCUCAGUUUCUUCACUUUUGUAAUUAGGGAGUUUUACAAGCUGCAGUUGAGUUCCAAUCCAAAUCACCCAAGUAGCGUAACAAGCCGGUAUAAAAGUCUAUUUUGCACAAGGUACAGACAAGUCUCGUGGGAUCCGUGUCUGUUUCAUUUUAAUAAAUCUGAGCUUGUCCAUGUUGGCCGUGGACAGGCGGCUGCACUGGUCUCUGAUAACCUCGUGCCGAUCGCACGUCCCUGUGACGGUGACGGAUGUCUGCGCUAUCAACUUUCAAAGCAAUUUUCCGCACCUACCAUGGUGACCACGUAUAACAGGGAAUCAGGGUUCGACUCCAGAGGGGGAGCCUGAGAAACGGCUACCACAUGCAAGGAAGGCAGCAGGCGCGCAAAUUACCCACUCCUGACGCGGAGAGGUAGUGACGACAAAUAACAAUACACUACUCUUUUGAGGCCCUGUAAUUGUAAUGAGUCCACUUUAAAUCCUUUAACUUGGAUCAAUUGGAGGGCAAGUCUGGUGCAGAGCGACUGACCCGUGCCUGCUGCUGC